rnacentral:rRNA from 1 species
GAUGAACGCUAGCGGCAGGCCUAAUACAUGCAAGUCGAGGGGUAGUGGAAGCUUGCUUCCAUGAGACCGGCGCACGGGUGCGUAACGCGUAUGCAACCUACCUCUAUCUGGGGGAUAGCCCGGAGAAAUCCGGAUUAACACCGCAUAAAAUCACAGUACGGCAUCGUACAAUGAUCAAAUAUUUAUAGGAUAGGGAUGGGCAUGCGUGUCAUUAGUUAGUUGGCGGGGUAACGGCCCACCAAGACCACGAUGACUAGGGGAUCUGAGAGGAUGGCCCCCCCACACUGGUACUGAGACACGGACCAGACUCCUACGGGAGGCAGCAGUAAGGAAUAUUGGUCAAUGGAGGCAACUCUGAACCAGCCAUGCCGCGUGCAGGAAGACGGCCCUCUGGGUUGUAAACUGCUUUUAUUCGGGAAUAAACCUGCUUACGUGUAAGUAGCUGAAUGUACCGAAGGAAUAAGGAUCGGCUAACUCCGUGCCAGCA